UAUAUAUAUAUAUAUAUAUAGAGAGAGAGAGAGAGAGAGAGAGAGAGAGAGUUUGACGGGGCUACUAUCGGUAGUAAAUUGCUCAAUUUACUACCGAUUUGUUUUCGAUAAUAGAGUUUCCAAAUCGACGAUCGGCACCGUCGAAUAUAAUCUAAACCAUUUAAAUUAUCUAGAAAUCAAAUUUCACGAUUUUUUGGCAUCACUAACUGAACGAUCAAAAAGUCACAAAAUCUAUAAUUUUAACGGUCGAUAUGGUGCGUUUGCUCGUUUAACGGUAUAGAAGAGUUCAAAUCAACUAAAUUUUUGUUAAAAAAUUCUUUAAACUAUUUAAAAAAAAUCUAGACUCUAGAUCUCAAAUAUAAAAAUUGUAUCAUCACUUUUUAAAGGAUAUUCAUUUCCAGCCAUUCAUUUUCUGUUCACUUGAUGAACAUGAGAACAAUAUCAAAAAUAUGUGAAAUUUGAUUUCCAGAUAGUUUAAAUAGUUUAGAUCAUGUUUAACGGUGUCGAUCGUCGAUUUGGAAGCUCUAUCAUCGAAAAUAAAUCGGUAGUAAAUCGAGCAGUUUACUACCGAUAGUAUUCUAGCAAAACUCUAUAUAUAUAUAUUACUUAUCUGGUGAAU
rnacentral:lncRNA from 1 species